rnacentral:rRNA from 1 species
GACGAACGCUGGCGGCGUGCCUAAUACAUGCAAGUAGAACGCUGAAGGAGGAGCUUGCUUCUCUGGAUGAGUUGCGAACGGGUGAGUAACGCGUAGGUAACCUGCCUGGUAGCGGGGGAUAACUAUUGGAAACGAUAGCUAAUACCGCAUAAUAUUGACUAUUGCAUGAUAGUCAGUUGAAAGGUGCAACUGCACCACUACCAGAUGGACCUGCGUUGUAUUAGCUAGUUGGUGGGGUAACGGCUCACCAAGGCGACGAUACAUAGCCGGCCUGAGAGGGUGAUCGGCCACACUGGGACUGAGACACGGCCCAGACUCCUACGGGAGGCAGCAGUAGGGAAUCUUCGGCAAUGGACGGAAGUCUGACCGAGCAACGCCGCGUGAGUGAAGAAGGUUUUCGGAUCGUAAAGCUCUGUUGUAAGAGAAGAACGAGUGUGAGAGUGGAAAGCUCACACUGUGACGGUAUCUUACCAGAAAGGGACGGCUAACUACGUG